rnacentral:rRNA from 1 species
GCGGCAACAGCUCAAAUUUGAAAUCUGGUCCCCCCGCGGGGCCCGAGUUGUAAUUUGAAGAGGAUGCUUCUGGCAAGGUGCCGUCCGAGUUCCCUGGAACGGGACGCCGCAGAGGGUGAGAGCCCCGUACGGUCGGACGCCGAGCCUCUGUGAAGCUCCUUCGACGAGUCGAGUAGUUUGGGAAUGCUGCUCAAAAUGGGAGGUAAACCCCUUCUAAAGCUAAAUACCGGCCAGAGACCGAUAGCGCACAAGUAGAGUGAUCGAAAGAUGAAAAGCACUUUGAAAAGAGAGUUAAAAAGCACGUGAAAUUGUUGAAAGGGAAGCGCUUGCGACCAGACUCGCGCCCGUCGGAUCAGCCGUCGCUCGUCGGCGGCGCACUCCGGCGGGCUCGGGCCAGCAUCAGUUCGCCUCGGGGGGAGAAAGGCGGCGGGAA